UGGUGGACACAGUAACAGGGUCUACCCUUACCAUACCGCCCAAACAAGACAGGGACAAAGGACAGCUUCAUACGACCACGCCACCGCCGCCGCCGCCUCUGCCACGCCAGUCUGCCUCACCCUCGACGGGAUGCAGCCACAUCUUCAAGAGUUGUCGUAGUGGCGUACAGCUCCUCUGAAUCAGAGAAAACACUUCAAGACUACAAUGAACUUCAAACUGGUGCUCGUGGUGCUGGCGGUGCUGUUGGGCGCGGUGCUGGGCAUGCCUCAGUUAAGCGGGAAGAGGCAGUUCCCCGGCCAGCGGCUGAGGGGCAGAACCAACUACGGCACCCACUCCUUCGGCCGUAGGGGUUAUGUCGGGAAGCCCCUGGCCAGACUUCACAGAAGGGAUUAGAAGUAUCUUCCCAGUGGACUUCAAUGACACACUGAGCGCACGCCGUCCUGGCAUUUCGUCCUCCUCCUCCUCCUCCUCCUUCUCAGGUUUAUUUUGGAUGUUGUUUCCUCGAGCAACCCAUUCGCCGCCAUUUAAAUGGACACGAAAUGGUAUCAGACGGGCACCAGGACCCUGCAACACAAAACUCAGUGUGGCCGUGUGAACAUACUUGAUUUCUGCCUUGAGAAUUGUCCCUUUAAUUCCUUAGGGGGAACAUGCAUUGUUUCUAGCUCUAAAAGCGAUCGUAUGCCACCAUUUCUAAAACCGAAGACUAAAACUGUGCAUAGUUUUCGCUCAUGCUGGAAAGGUCAAGAGAGGGACGGACGCCAAGUGUGUGUGUGUGCUGGCGGUGCUUGAGUGGUCGCGUUCCUCCUGAUGAACGAAGCACUGUGAUGGCAGGGGACCGACUGGUGCUGUGAUGUGAAAGAGGGAAGACUUAGUGUUUAUGUCUUCUGAUAACUUCAAAAUAUUACGAGUAUUAUAACAGUAUGCCAUUGUCAUGCUCCUCUCUGUUGUGUUUAUUUCUUUUUGCUGCGUGUUAACAGCAAGUUUUACUGUAGUAUAGACAACUGAUUUGUGAUGUAUCACUGUAUUAUUUAUAAAAUGAUAACCACCCAUAAA